GCCCCCUACGGGACGCAGCAGUGGGGAAUAUUGCACAAUGGGGGAAACCCUGAUGCAGCGACGCCGCGUGAGCGAAGAAGUAUUUCGGUAUGUAAAGCUCUAUCAGCAGGGAAGAAAAAUGACGGUACCUGAGUAAGAAGCACCGGCUAAAUACGUGCCAGCAGCCGCGGUAAUACGUAUGGUGCAAGCGUUAUCCGGAUUUACUGGGUGUAAAGGGAGCGCAGGCGGUGCGGCAAGUCUGAUGUGAAAGCACGGGGCUCAACCCCGGGACUGCAUUGGAAACUACCGAACUAGGGUGUAGGUGG
rnacentral:rRNA from 1 species